GAUGAACGCUGGCGGCGUGCUUAACACAUGCAAGUCGAACGGUGAAGGCGGAGCUUGCUCUGCUGGAUCAGUGGCGAACGGGUGAGUAACACGUGAGCAAUCUGCCCCUGACUCUGGGAUAAGCGCUGGAAACGGCGUCUAAUACUGGAUACGAGCUGCGAAGGCAUCUUCAGCAGCUGGAAAGAAUUUCGGUCAGGGAUGAGCUCGCGGCCUAUCAGCUUGUUGGUGAGGUAAUGGCUCACCAAGGCGUCGACGGGUAGCCGGCCUGAGAGGGUGACCGGCCACACUGGGACUGAGACACGGCCCAGACUCCAACGGGAGGCAGCAGUGGGGAAUAUUACACAAUGGGCGAAAGCCUGAUGCAGCAACGCCGCGUGAGGGACGACGGCCUUCGGGUUGUAAACCUCUUUUAGCAGGGAAGAAGCGAAAGUGACGGUACCUGCAGAAAAAGCGCCGGCUAACUACGUG
rnacentral:rRNA from 1 species